CCCUUUCCGGCCAGCCUACAAUGCAGUCGAGCGGUAGCACAGGGAGCUUGCUCCUGGGUGACGAGCGGCGGACGGGUGAGUAAUGUCUGGGAAACUGCCUGAUGGAGGGGGAUAACUACUGGAAACGGUAGCUAAUACCGCAUAACGUCUACGGACCAAAGUGGGGGACCUUCGGGCCUCAUGCCAUCAGAUGUGCCCAGAUGGGAUUAGCUAGUAGGUGGGGUAAUGGCUCACCUAGGCGACGAUCCCUAGCUGGUCUGAGAGGAUGACCAGCCACACUGGAACUGAGACACGGUCCAGACUCCUACGGGAGGCAGCAGUGGGGAAUAUUGCACAAUGGGCGCAAGCCUGAUGCAGCCAUGCCGCGUGUGUGAAGAAGGCCUUCGGGUUGUAAAGCACUUUCAGCGAGGAGGAAGGGUUCAGUGUUAAUAGCACUGUUCAUUGUUUUUUACUCGCAGAAGAAGCACCGGCUAACUCCGUGCCAGCAGCCGCGGUAAUACGGAGGGUGCAAGCGUUAAUCGGAAUUACUGGGCGUAAAGCGCACGCAGGCGGUUUGUUAAGUCAGAUGUGAAAUCCCCGCGCUUAACGUGGGAACUGCAUUUGAAACUGGCAAGCUAGAGUCUUGUAGAGGGGGGUAGAAUUCCAGGUGUAGCGGUGAAAUGCGUAGAGAUCUGGAGGAAUACCGGUGGCGAAGGCGGCCCCCUGGACAAAGACUGACGCUCAGGUGCGAAAGCGUGGGGAGCAAACAGGAUUUAGAUACCCUGGUAGUCCACGCUGUAAACGAUGUCGACUUGGAGGUUG
rnacentral:rRNA from 1 species